rnacentral:lncRNA from 1 species
CCUAUGGGCACAAAAAGCAGGAACGAGUAGCGGUGGCUGAAGAACGAGCAGGAGCUUGAAUUUCAGUUUUCUUAUGAGGAAUUUUCCAGAAAAGAUAUCUUCACUGUGAAAUAACUAAAUAAAUGCCCACUCAGUACAGUCACUGUCUCCCUUUUGGAACUUGAUGGCACCUUAAGCCCAGGUUUGCCUCCACUCUAGAAACUCAUCAGAGUGAUGCCCUUCUCAAAUGGGGGAGGUCCCAAAGCGGAUAUCCUGGCAGUGUGAAAGGCCGGCUAAAGGUUUGUGCCAAGAGGAUCUGUGGAAUGCAUCUCCUACAGCUGGUGCUGCUGAGUAACCACUCUGAUCUGGCAUCUUCUUUGAUCAAGUUACAGAGCAGAGUUUCCAGGGCUGGGGAUUGAAGUCCUGCCUCCUCCCUUUGUCUCUGGUUGUCCUCGACAAAAAUACCUGCUACAUGCUUCCUUCUGUAUGAAUACAUGAGACCUACCUUCAUUCAUGUUUCCUCUAUGAAGCUUUCCCUGCACUCCAAACACAGAGCUGAGACUUCCACCUAAUGUAGAAAGCUAGCACGAGCCGGCGCUGACAGAUGGAAGACUUGAGAUGUUACAAGAUUAUAUAUGGAAACACAAAAGGAGUGGAGUUGCUGGGUCAUAUGGCAAUUCAUUUGAGGAACUGAGAAGCUUAUUCCAUGGAGGCUGAACUGUUUUAUAUUCCCACCAGCAACGUGUAAGGUUCCAGUUUAUCUACAUCAUCACCAACACUUGCUAUUUUCCAUUUCAUUAAUGAUAGCCAUCCUAGUGGAUUUGAAGUGGUACCUUAUUAUCGUGGUUUUGAUUGCAUUCUCUAUUGACUAAUGAUAUCGAGCAUCUUUUCAUGUAUUUUUUGGUCAUUUGGUCAUUUUUCUUUUUUAAUUUUAAAAUUUUGAGACAGGCUCUCACUAUGUUGCCCAGGUGGUCUCAAACUCCUGGGUUCCAGCGAUGCUCAUGCCUCAGUCUCCCAAAGGGGUGGGAUUACAGGUGUGAGCCACUUUGCCCAGCCCAUUUGUAUAUCUCCUUUGGAGAAUAUCUAGGUUCUUUUGAAGGUAGCUGCAUAUAAACUAGCCAAAUUAACAGACUGUGGUUUUUAGAUGGCUUUCCAUAUCUACAAGAACUAUUUAGUUCUCAAAACUGGGAAGAAAUGUUUCAGAGGCAUCAUUAAUUCAUAAUCUAAAAAUUUAUCUUGGGUUUCCUUUUUUCCCCCAGAUUCUGUAUCCUCCAUAGUCCUAUUCAUGACAUGGGUCGUUCAUCUCUGUAUUCUAAACCCUCAAUGAACUGUAGACAGUAAUAAAUAUUUAUUGGAUGAAUGGUCUCUCAUCAGCCACCUUUUCUUUUUUUUUUUUUGAGACAGAGUCUCACUCUGUCACUCAGGCUGGAGUGCAGUGGCGCGAUCUCGGUUCACUGCAACCUCUGCCUCCCGGGUUCAAGUGAUUCUCCCACCUGAGCCUCCCGAGUAGCUGGGAUUACAGGUGCACGCCACCUUGUCUGGCUAAUUUUUGUAUUUUUAGUAGAGACAGGGUUUCACCGUGUUGGUCAGGCUGGUCUCAAACGCCUGACCUCAGGUGAUCUGCCCGACUUGGCCUCCCAAAGUGCUGGGAUUACAGGUGUGAGCCACCGCACCUGGCCUCCAGCCUCUUUUCUUUUUUUUUUUUGAGACAAGUCUAACUCUGUCACCCAGGCUGGAGAGCAGCGGCAUGAUCAUGGCUCACUGCUGCCUCAACCUCAGAGGCUCAAGUCAUUGUCCCCACCUCAGCCUCCCUAGUAGACUGGACUACAGGCAUGUGCCACCACACCCAGCUAAUUUUUCAUCAGCCACCUUUUCUAACCAUCUGUCUGCACUGACUUCCCAGGUUCUGCAUCAUUAUUGGUUUACUGAGACAAUGCACUUCACCCGUCCUUCAAUCCCAAAGUAGCACAGAAUAUCAGGAGUUCUUUGAGCCCCUAAGUGCCCUACUUUCCCAGGGUCAGGGGACCCUGACAAGCAAGGUCCCCACAUCUUUCUGUGGUUGGAUAGGGAUAUAAAAUUUCUCACACAUGUUAAAUCAAGAUACUUUGGCCAGGCACGGUGGCUCACACCUGUAAUCCCAGCACUUUGGGAGGCUGAGGUGUACAGAUCACUUGAGGUCAGGAGUUUGAGACAAGCCUGGUCAACAUGGUGAAACUCCCAUCUCUACUAAAAAAAAAAAAACUUUGGGAGGCCGAGGUGGGUGGAUCAUGAGGUCAGGAGUUUGAGACCAGCCUGGCCAACAUGGUGAAACCCCGUCUCUACUAAAAAUGCAAAAAUUAGGUGGGUGUGGUGGCACACAGCAGUAGUCCCAGCUACUCAGGAGGCUGAGGCAGGAGAAUUGCUUGAACCUGGGAGGCAGAGGUUACAGUGAGCUGAGAUCAUGCCACCGCACUCCAACCAGGGCAACAGAUCAAGACUCCAUCUUGGGGAAAAAAAAAAAAAUUAGCCAGGCUUGGUGGUGGAUGCCUGUAUUCCCAGCUUCUUGGGAGACUGAAGCAGGAGGAUCGCUUGAACCCAGGAGGCAGAGGUUGCAGUGAGUUGAGAUUGUGCCACUGUACUCCAGCCUGGGCAACAGAAACAAUACUCCGUCUCAAAAAAAAAAAAAAAAAAAAAAAAUCAAGACACCAAACACACACAACUAAUUAGCUCUAUAAAUUGAAUUAAAAGAAAAUCCAUACUGACUUGCUUUCCCAUCUGUCCAUAUUUGUCUAUCCAAAUGAUUAAGGGCUAGAGAAAAUACAGAUGAUGAUGGCUGAGAUGGGAUAAAACUAUAAAUUGACUUGGUUCCAUUUACCUCCCAGAAUCAGCAUACAGUGACAAAGUAGAGAGAAAAGGUCUGGGCACCACAAACUUGUACUUGUGCUAGAAAUGUAGGUGCCUUUUCAUUUGCCCAGCAGGGCUAGUUUAACAGCCAGGGUAUCUUCUGGGACUCUUCCCCAAAUCUUGCUCUACCGCUGACUAGCUAUGUGAUCUUGGGCAAGUUUCUCAACCUUUCUGUGCCUUUCUUCCUUUACUUAUAAAUAAGGAUAACAGAAUUUGCUUCAUAGAGUUAGUCUGAGGAUUCAGUAAGUAGAUACGUGUAAUCUUAGAACAGUGUCUGGCACACAGUAAAACUCUAUCUUUGCUAUUGUUGUUUUUGUUAUAACUGUAUAGAUGUUAGCUAUUAUUACUAUCCACAAGAAUGGGACAUAUCAAUUAUAUAUAUUACUGGCCUAGUAAUUAUAUAUACUUAGAAUCCCUGAUCAAUAAAAUAAAUUGUAAUAGAAAUUUUUAUUCCUCAAACACAUUUUUGUUCCUCAAACACAUUUUUAAAUAAACAUGUCUUGGGAAAGCCAAAGAAAAAAAAAUCAUACCUAUAUCCAAAUAUGUUAUAUUAAAACCUUGUUCCUUGGCAAUUUCACUAAGCAGCUGGAUGUAAUCUGUAUUUGGAAUACUAAGGAGGCUUCUUUUCAGUAAGUUGAUCUUUUCACCAGGAGAAUUCCUCAAGGAAUGCCAAGUACAUCCUAAAGAAUGUCCUACUACAUUUGUCUGAAAAACAGAGAUGAAGAUUUAGACUCUUGACUAGGACUGGGUUCCAACACCCGUACCAGUAUCAUUAAAAGUACUUAUUAAGCACUCACAUUUAAUAUGUUAUAAAGCAUGUUUAAAUGGAUAACAUUUGGUUAAUUUUCCAAUUUAAACAAGACAACAUUAAAAAGUACACAUUUAACAAUACUAUAUGUUUUUAAGAAGCACUUGCAAUAAUAUACUGAAAGCAUUUUGUAUUUUGUAUAGUACAAAUGUUUCUCAGUCAAGUUUUCUGAUGGUCACAUUAAGAGGUACAAGAUAUCUGGAAGCACCAUAAGUAAAUCCACAAAUAAUUAAAUCUGCCUAAUGGAGCAAUUUGCAGAUUAAAAUAUAGAACAAUUUUCAUAUCUUUGGUUUUUUUUGUAUUAAAUACCAAUCACUAUAACUGACAGCUAUCAAACAGGAAAAAAAACAGAAAAAAAAACUAAAAAAAACAUGAAAUGUGCGCGUUGGGUUUGAGGAACAAGUCAUUCAAAUAAAUGACAGGAUGUCAAAAAGUUCUUAUCAGACUUCUAUCCCAGAACCCAACUGAGUAUUUUUUUCCUUUUUCUUUCUGCUUUUCCUCUUUCCUUUAUCCUCCCCUAUAUCCUUCCCUUUUCAUCUCUGUCCUUAGAAUGCCUUAUAUUUCCAUAUUAGUUUAUGGUUCUCAAAUUGCUUUCAUAUGCCAUUAAUAAAAACAACUACUUUCUGAAGUAAGUAGGGUUACUACUCUUAAUAUUGUUUUAUUAAUGAGCACGACAGAGGGGAGGCAAUUUCCAAAAGAUUUUAGAGAUGGCAUGAUAUGGAAUUAAGUAAUUUAUUAGAUUUACCAAAUAAAAAUUUACAUUAUAGAAACUUUAAAAUACUGUUUUUAAAUAAAGAACACUAUUUACAUGGUUAAAAAUAUACAUGCACUAAGAACAAAUAUAUAAUGAAGAGUACAGUCUCUUUUCCUUACCACCCAUUCCCUGAAGACCUCUGUUCUAUUUCUUAGACAUACUGUUAAACAUUUUUCAGUAUCUUCCCAUAAAUGUUCUAUGCAUAUGCAAGCACACACAAUCUUUUAAAGCAAAUGAUAACUUACUCCUCUACAUCUUGUUCAUUUUUCUUUUAUCAGUGCACAUAUAUGCACUGUAUUUACCUUACGGAUCUCCAACUGUGAGCUUUAGGUUGUUUCUAGUUUCUUGCUUUUACUAGCAAUAAACACUCUUUUGCACUUGAAUGAGUUUCUCUGUAGAAUUAUUUCUAGAAGUGGAACUGCUAAGUCAAAGAACAUGUACACUUUUAAUUUUGAUAAAUACUUCCAAACUGAUUUCUGAACCAAUUUAUACUCCUACCAACUGUCUUGGAGGGGGCUUGUUUUCUCAUACCCUCACUAAUACCAGCUAUUAUCAAAUUUUGUAGUUUUUGCCAAUCUAAAAGGUGAAAAUAUUUUAUCUUGCAUGAAUAAAGUUGAAUAUUUUUUCUUUUUUUCCCUUAAUCGUUUGCAUUUCUUCUACUGGGUUGUCUUUUUAACUGAUGCAUAAGAGCUUUUUAAAUUUUCUCUUUUUUAAGAGUUAGGAUCUUGCUGUGUGGCUUAACUCUCAAACUCUUGGGCUCUAGCAGUCCUCCCACCUUAGCCUCCCGAGUAGCUGGGACUACAGGCAUGUGCUGCUGUGUGCAGCAGAUGUGUACAAAAGAGCUUUAAAGGUAGUACUGAAAACAGUUCCUUUAUAGUUCUAUGUUGAAAAUAAUUUCUUCCCACUUUUUUAUUGUCUUAAUUUACAGAUUUUUUGCUGUGCAGUAGGUUUUAUGUUGUCAAAUGUAUUAAUCUUUUAACCUAGGUUUUAAGUUAAAAUGCUUUCCCCAUGCUAAGAUUUUUAAAAAGAAAAACUCUUCCAUGUUUCCUAAUAUUUAUACUGUUUCAAAUUUUUAUGUUCAAAUCUUUGAUCCAUCUGAAAUUCACUUUGGUGUAAGGAAUAAGGAAGCAUUCUAAAUAGAUGUCAUACACAUCAACAAAUAUAUAUAUAUAGCCCCCACCCAAAUGUGGAUGUAAACUGUUUCUACAUCAUUAUUGAAUAAUCCAUCCUCUCACCCACUGAUCUGAAAUCUCACUGUUGCUAUAUACUAUGGUCCUAUGUGGAUUAGCAUCUACGCCUGGAUUCUCUAUUCGCUCCUCUGACUAUUCCUGGCCCAGUAACUUGUCUGACAAGUUCAGUUUUACAGUAUGUUUUGUUCUCUAGUAAAGCAGCACACCCUUGCUCUCCCAACUCUUCCUUUUCAGUUUUCUUGGCUAUUCUUGAGGGUUUUUUUCCAGAUAAACUUCAAUAAACGUGUAUCAAGGUCCAAAAUGAACGCUGGUAGGUUUUUUUUUUUUUCGAGUUGGGGUCUCACUCUGUCGCCUAGGCUGGAGUGCAGUGGCGUGGAUCUCUGCUCACUGCAAGCUCCGCCUCCCGGGUUCAUGCCAUUCUCCUGACUCAGCCUCCGGAGUAGCGGGGACUACAGGCGCACGCCACCAGGCCCGGCUAAUUUUUUUUUUUGUAUUUUUAGUAGAGACGGGGUUUCACCGCGUUAGCCAGAAUGGUUUCUAUCUCCUGACCUCAUGAUCCGCCCACCUCGGCCUCCCAAAGUGCUGGGAUUACAGGCGUGAGCCACUGUGCCUGGCCAAACGCUGGUAGGUUUUGAGUGAGAC